rnacentral:rRNA from 1 species
GAUGAACGCUAGCUACAGGCUUAACACAUGCAAGUCGAGGGGCAGCAUGGUCUUAGCUUGCUAAGGCCGAUGGCGACCGGCGCACGGGUGAGUAACACGUAUCCAACCUGCCGUCUACUCUUGGACAGCCUUCUGAAAGGAAGAUUAAUACAAGAUGGCAUCAUGAGUCCGCAUGUUCACAUGAUUAAAGGUAUUCCGGUAGACGAUGGGGAUGCGUUCCAUUAGAUAGUAGGCGGGGUAACGGCCCACCUAGUCUUCGAUGGAUAGGGGUUCUGAGAGGAAGGUCCCCCACAUUGGAACUGAGACACGGUCCAAACUCCUACGGGAGGCAGCAGUGAGGAAUAUUAGUCAAUGAGCGUGAGCCUGAACCAGCCAAGUAGCGUGAAGGAUGACUGCCCUAUGGGUUGUAAACUUCUUUUAUAAAGGAAUAAAGUCGGGUAUGCAUACCCGUUUGCAUGUACUUUAUGAAUAAGGAUCGGCUAACUCCGUGCCAGCAGCCGCAGUAA